ensembl:lncRNA
GUUCCAACCCCCUGCCAUGGGCAGGGUUGCCAGCCACUUGAUUGGGCUGCACAGGGCCCCAUGCAAUGGGGACAACUCCAGGGAUGGAGCAUCCACGGCAUCUCUGGGCAACCUGUUCCAGCACCACUGUUUGAAUGCAAAAUUUACAUCUAACAUCUAGCCUAAAUCUUGCUGCUUUUUAUUUAAAGCCAUUAUCCCUUGUCUUCAUAGAAUCAUAGAAUCAUAGAAUCACAAGGUUGGAAAGGACCUACAAGAUCAUCUCGUCCAACUGUCCUCCCAUUACCAUUACUACCACAAACAACUAAACCGUAGCUCGUAGCUCCUCAUCCAGAUGCCUCUUGAACACCAGCAGAAGUACCUCUUCACAAGCUGUCCAUUUCUUAAACAUAGAAGAUGCACAUCCUCUUCCCACGUCCCAGUGACAACUGUCAUUUAAAGCUCUGUUAAUCAGCUCAACCAGCUUGCUUCCCAGAACAUUCUUGCCUUCCUGGUCAGGGGCAUCCCAUUAUACAUCAAGACUCCCAGUCUUUCAAAGCUGCCUCCCUCCAAUAGACAACCGCUGUUUCCUCCGGGAUUCAUAUUGAUAGUCUCCCUGUGAUCAGAUAGAGCUCCACGUUCUUCAGCAGGGGAGAAUGAACUUACACCUCUUCCUGCAGAACUGAAUCAUCCCUGCUUCUCUCUUCAGACAGCAGUCACAGUUCCAUUUCGACCCCAUUAUCACUGUAGACUCACAGAUGACAUUUUGCAGAGCUGUUCUGUCACUGUUGGGGCAUUAUCUGUUGUUGAUAGGAUGUAGAAGAACAGAGUUUGAAUGUAAAUGUCUGUUGCAGUUACUAUUCACUAGAGGUUUAUUUGGGAUGCAAAAAUUAAAAAUCAAUAUUUGUCAAAAGAUAAAGGAUAAAGUAUUAAAGUCAGCUUUUAAGGACCA